rnacentral:rRNA from 2 species
GGGCUGGGCGGCGUGCUAUACUGCAGUCGAGCGACAGAUGAGAAGCUUGCUUCUCUGAUGUUAGCGGCGGACGGGUGAGUAACACGUGGGUAACCUACCUAUAAGACUGGGAUAACUCCGGGAAACCGGGGCUAAUACCGGAUAAUAUUUUGAACCGCAUGGUUCAAUAGUGAAAGACGGUUUCGGCUGUCACUUAUAGAUGGACCCGCGCCGUAUUAGCUAGUUGGUAAGGUAACGGCUUACCAAGGCGACGAUACGUAGCCGACCUGAGAGGGUGAUCGGCCACACUGGAACUGAGACACGGUCCAGACUCCUACGGGAGGCAGCAGUAGGGAAUCUUCCGCAAUGGGCGAAAGCCUGACGGAGCAACGCCGCGUGAGUGAUGAAGGUCUUCGGAUCGUAAAACUCUGUUGUUAGGGAAGAACAAAUUUGUUAGUAACUGAACAAGUCUUGACGGUACCUAACCAGAAAGCCACGGCUAACUACGUGCCAGCAGCCGCGGUAAUACGUAGGUGGCAAGCGUUAUCCGGAAUUAUUGGGCGUAAAGCGCGCGUAGGCGGUUUCUUAAGUCUGAUGUGAAAGCCCACGGCUCAACCGUGGAGGGUCAUUGGAAACUGGGAAACUUGAGUGCAGAAGAGGAGAGUGGAAUUCCAUGUGUAGCGGUGAAAUGCGCAGAGAUAUGGAGGAACACCAGUGGCGAAGGCGGCUCUCUGGUCUGUAACUGACGCUGAUGUGCAAAAGCGUGGGGAUCAAACAGGAUUAGAUACCCUGGUAGUCCACCCCGAAAACGAUGAGUGCUAAGUGUUAGGGGGUUUCCCCCCCUUAGGGCUGCAGCUAACGCAUUAAGAACUCCGCCUGGGGAGUACGACCGCAAGGUUGAAACUCAAAGGAAUUGACGGGGACCCGCACAAGCGGUGGAGCAUGUGGUUUAAUUCGAAGCAACGCGAAGAACCUUACCAAAUCUUGACAUCCUUUGACCGCUCUAGAGAUAGAGUCUUCCCCUUCGGGGGACAAAGUGACAGGUGGUGCAUGGUUGUCGUCAGCUCGUGUCGUGAGAUGUUGGGUUAAGUCCCGCAACGAGCGCAACCCUUAAGCUUAGUUGCCAUCAUUAAGUUGGGCACUCUAGGUUGACUGCCGGUGACAAACCGGAGGAAGGUGGGGAUGACGUCAAAUCAUCAUGCCCCUUAUGAUUUGGGCUACACACGUGCUACAAUGGAUAAUACAAAGGGCAGCGAAUCCGCGAGGCCAAGCAAAUCCCAUAAAAUUAUUCUCAGUUCGGAUUGUAGUCUGCAACUCGACUACAUGAAGCUGGAAUCGCUAGUAAUCGUAGAUCAGCAUGCUACGGUGAAUACGUUCCCGGGUCUUGUACACACCGCCCGUCACACCACGAGAGUUUGUAACACCCGAAGCCGGUGGAGUAACCUAUAGGAGCUAGCCGUCGAAGGUGGACAAGAUUGC